GGGCAAUUUCCAAGGAAGGCAUCUUUUCUUGUUAAAAGUCACGUUAAAGUUGAGGGCAGAAGUUGGAAACCACCUAAGGGUCCUGGCAAUACUCGUGGACCGCAUCGGCCGACUGGCACAAAACCCUUGGGCCGCAAAUAACUCCUGGACACGGAGAACAACGGUAACAUGAAUUCGGCGAGAAUCUCCACGAAGCGAACUCCAACUGGAAAAGGAGAAUAUUACAGCGGAAGGAACACGCUAAAAGCGCUACAGAUUACACGAAGAAUGGUUCACACAUCUUCGCACCCACUCCAGGGAAAACUGCCCAUAAGUGCUCGCCUAGUAAAGCCUAACUACGAGUUA